CCUACGGGAGGCAGCAGUGGGGAAUAUUGGACAAUGGGGGCAACCCUGAUCCAGCCAUGCCGCGUGUGUGAAGAAGGCCCUCGGGUUGUAAAGCACUUUCAGUGAGGAAGAACGCCUGGUGGUUAAUACCCAUCAGGAAAGACAUCACUCACAGAAGAAGCACCGGCUAACUCCGUGCCAGCAGCCGCGGUAAUACGGAGGGUGCGAGCGUUAAUCGGAAUUACUGGGCGUAAAGCGCGCGUAGGUGGCUUGAUAAGCCGGUUGUGAAAGCCCCGGGCUCAACCUGGGAACGGCAUCCGGAACUGUCAAGCUAGAGUGCAGGAGAGGAAGGUAGAAUUCCCGGUGUAGUGGUGAAAUGCGUAGAGAUCGGGAGGAAUACCAGUGGCGAAGGCGGCCUUCUGGACUGACACUGACACUGAGGUGCGAAAGCGUGGGUAGCAAACAGGAUUAGAUACCCUAGUAGUC
rnacentral:rRNA from 1 species